ensembl:lncRNA LINC01685 long intergenic non-protein coding RNA 1685
AUGCAGAUACACACAGCACAGCUAGUUUCAAAAUUAAACCACAAUGAAAACUGUCACUACUGACAAGGAACUAUGCAAAGACCUUCGGUCUCAGGCCCUUGCUCACUCAGGAGUACCUUGAGACCUGUUUCUUCCUGUUCAGCUGCAGUCACGGUUCUAACCUGGUUCUUCUCACGGCUGGUAUCCUCUGACCUUUUAUGUCUUGGCAAUGACUUCCAUGCAUUUUGGCAGUGACUGCCUGAAUCUCUGAUUCAACCCUGAUCGCAGCCUCUCGGGCUUUCUCGCUCCUUUAAUUCUUUCCGCGGAUGGCCACGGCUUUUGCCGCCUGUACCCUUCCUGGAGCAACCCGUGCUUUUGAAAAAUGACCAUGCCGAAGGGGAACUAACACUCCCAGCCUGGUGCGGGUCUUGUCAAUCUGAUUUUUAAAUGAUGGAGGAGGAGGUUUGAGGACAAAGCUCAUGGUGGCAUUACCACUAUCAGGGACGCUGCAAAGAUCAAGUGAAAAGGGGAAAAGGCUCUUCUCAAUGUGAGCACAUUCACAGGCUCUGAGAACAGAGAGGUAUUUAAAGUGAACUGGAACAAACCUGCAACAUCCGGUGCGUUCUGCCUUCAAAAAUAGCUGCCAGUUAGAAAGGGUUAUUUACAUAUUGAUUUCAUGCUAACUUUGUAAUGGAAUGUGCUGCCUGCCUGCCUGCCUGAGACCUAACAACUGUCAUCAUAAUUUUUUCUAAAAAUACAGUCAGAGAAAAACACUCAUUGAACCCUCCACUGGAAAGUAGCUGCAAAAGACCCCCUGAUCCCAAACCUGCUUGACAGACCACAGCCAAGGGCAGGGACACUCAACAACUGUAAACGAGGAACAUUUCACAGCGGCAGCUGGCCCCUCUCUUCUUCCAACCAGCCAAUAUUUUUUGUCUUUCUAGAAAACCUGUCUUGUUCAAAGGGCGGCAAGUGCAGCCUGAGAGCCCUCCACGGCCUGAUUGCUGAAAGAAUUUCCAAAAGGAAAGAGUGUAAACAGGGAUGAAGACACGAUAGCGCCAGUGGGUGGAAUGAGUUGCCCAAGGACUUUCAGUGAGUGGCAGUGUCAGAUGGAAGACUUUUUAGCUACGAGGGUCUAAAAAAGAAGUAUCCCAAGUCACCUACAAGUAAUACACCUACACCUUUUGCUGUUAGAGAAGAGCAGAUCUUUGAUUAAGCUCAAUGCUCAUGGCCACCCAGGUUUCUUGGCAGUUUGGGAUGUGUACACAACCGCUGUCCUUCUGCAUCCCAUAUUUAGGGCCACAAUGGGAAUUAUGACACUCAAGCCUUGUGUAGCGCUUUAUAUUUUCAGAGUGCUUUCAAAUAUAUAAUUUGAUCCUUAUGAC